GAGGGUAUAGCUCAGUGGCAGAGCACAUGCUUAGCAUGCAUGAGGUCCUGGGUUCAAUCCCCAAUAUUGCCA
rnacentral:tRNA from 1 species